GUCCUUGCACCUGCUGUUCCCUGAGGUGUAAGGCAGGGAGUCACCGGGUCCCAGCUGAGGAACCCCUUUACCAGGCCAGACAAGUGGGAACCAGACAGCCUGGAGAGUCAGAGCCAGAGAGAAAGCGCCUUCCCUCCUCCGGCGAUUCCAGCACUCCUUCACAAGGCGAGAUGAAUUGAUUGUGAGCCUCCUUGAAAAAAAAGAAAGAAAGAGAAGAAAAGGCAUUCUGAUCAUUGUUGCCAGAUGUCUCAAGCAAGCCUGCCAAGCUGGGGCUAGAAAUGCAGCCUCAAAAUAGUAGGCAUGGGAUUGUCCCAUCAGCCAAUUAGGGCCCUGAGAGCAAAUUAGCUCUUGUUUCCCAUUGGCCAGAACAUCUGUGACCUGCACAUGGACAGCCCAGGGACAUUCUAGCCAGCAUCCCCGACUCUGGCCAAUUGCUGUUGGCAUCUGAAAAGGCCACAGAUAACAGUCAGUCCACAGUCUUUAAAAACUGCCCUGUUGAACACCUCAGUUCACUUCCUAGGAAAAUCGCCAUGGCCAUCCCUGGAGACCAGGGCAUUAUCCAGGCAAAAUAAUCCCUGUGGUUGGAAUAGUUGCACAGGGCAAAGCCCUCACUAAAGUUGCUCUCUAGAGACAAGGUCUUAGUCUCAGGUAAGGGGGCCCUUACAUACAGGCUCCCCCCGCUUGGCAGAGAAAUCAACUAGAUUUGUUCCAUGGGAAAUCUAUAAGAAUGAAAGCUGAGUAAUCGAGCAACAGACAGCACAGCACGGCCUUCUUGAAUAACCAUCAUCUCAAAUUGGAGAUUGCAUUUGCCAUCAAUUUUAAAAGACACAUUUCAACAAGAAGCCAUGGGAGACAUGGAACCCUAAAGACCAGUUCAUCUGUAAGGAACAAAGCAACGCUGUGGGAGGAAGUCUCAUCUACAAAGGUCAGCUCUUGGCAACAUAUGCCCACUGGGCAGCCAGGAACUCUUUAGAAACUGUUCAAUGGUGCUGCAGGACUGGCAUCAGGACCAGAAUUAAGAAAUUACUAUUGGCAGCAAAGAGUAAUUUGGUAGCAAUGGCUCCCAAAAAGCCUCAAAAAUAUCCAUAUUUUAUGAUCCACCAAUUUUACUUCUGAGGAUUUACCCCAAGAAGCGACCCAUAUAUUUGCACGAAGAUUUAUCCCUAAACAUGCUCAUUAUACUGUUUGAGAAAAAAAAUUGAAGCAUAAAUUUGAACCCAAUGCAGUCAUGAAA